rnacentral:rRNA from 1 species
UGAAACCGCGAAUGGCUCAUUAAAUCAGCUAUGGUUCCUUAGAUCGUACCUACUACAUGGAUAACUGUAGUAAUUCUAGAGCUAAUACAUGCCACUAUGCCCUGCCCCGCAAGGGAAUGGGUGGUUUUAUUAGAACAGAACCAACCGGUUGUGGCUUCGGUCGCUUCCGUGGUACUGUGAUGACUCUGGAUAACUUCACCGAUCGCAGUCGGCCUUGUGUCGGCGACGGAUCUUUCAAAUGUCUGCCCUAUCAAUUUUCGAUGGUAGGUGACCUGCCUACCAUGGUUAUAACGGGUAACGGGGAAUCAGGGUUCGAUUCCGGAGAGGGAGCCUGAGAAACGGCUACCACUUCCAAGGAAGGCAGCAGGCGCGUAACUUACCCAAUCCCAGAACGGGGAGGUAGUGACGAAAAAUACGGAUGCGGGACUCAUUAGAGGCUCCGUAAUUCGAAUGAGUACAAUUUAAAUCCUUUAACGAGGAUCAACUGGAGGGCAAGUCUGGUGCCAGCAGCCGCGGUAAUUCCAGCUCCAGAAGCGUAUAUUAAAGUUGUUGCAGUUAAAAAGCUCGUAGUUGGAUCUGGGUGGCAUGGCUACAUGCUGUUGCCUGUAUACUCGAUUUCGGUCAGUGUGCGGGUCGGCGUCGUGGUUGUGCAGCCUUUCUGCCGUGUCUGUUUCGACAGGUGCUGGGUGAGCUGAUGCUUGCAUUGGUUCCUCGGCAUGCUUCCUGAUGUCCUUCACCGGGUGUCGGAGGCGGGCGGCACGUUUACUUUGAACAAAUUUGAGUGCUCAAAGCAGGCCAUUAAGCCUGAAAAUUCUUGCAUGGAAUAAUGGAAUAGGACUUCGGUUCUAUUUUGUUGGUUUUCGGAUCCGAAGUAAUGGUUAAGAAGGGACAGACGGGGGG